rnacentral:rRNA from 1 species
CAGGCCUAACACAUGCAAGUCGAACGGAUCCUUCGGGAUUAGUGGCGGACGGGUGAGUAACACGUGGGAACGUGCCCUUUGGUUCGGAACAACUCAGGGAAACUUGAGCUAAUACCGGAUGUGCCCUUCGGGGGAAAGAUUUAUCGCCAUUGGAGCGGCCCGCGUCUGAUUAGCUAGUUGGUGAGGUAAAGGCUCACCAAGGCGACGAUCAGUAGCUGGUCUGAGAGGAUGAUCAGCCACAUUGGGACUGAGACACGGCCCAAACUCCUACGGGAGGCAGCAGUGGGGAAUCUUGCGCAAUGGGCGAAAGCCUGACGCAGCCAUGCCGCGUGAAUGAUGAAGGUCUUAGGAUUGUAAAAUUCUUUCACCGGGGACGAUAAUGACGGUACCCGGAGAAGAAGCCCCGGCUAACUUCGUGCCAGCAGCCGCGGUAAUACGAAGGGGGCUAGCGUUGCUCGGAAUUACUGGGCGUAAAGGGAGCGUAGGCGGACUGUUAAGUUAGAGGUGAAAGUCCAGGGCUCAACCUUGGAAUUGCCUUUGAUACUGGCAGUCUUGAGUACGGAAGAGGUAUGUGGAACUCCGAGUGUAGAGGUGAAAUUCGUAGAUAUUCGGAAGAACACCAGUGGCGAAGGCGACAUACUGGUCCGUUACUGACGCUGAGGCUCGAAAGCGUGGGG